rnacentral:rRNA from 1 species
GAUGAACGCUGGCGGCGUGCCUAAUACAUGCAAGUCGAGCGAACAGAUGAGGAGCUUGCUCCUCUGACGUUAGCGGCGGACGGGUGAGUAACACGUGGAUAACCUACCUAUAAGACUGGGAUAACUUCGGGAAACCGGAGCUAAUACCGGAUAAUAUAUUGAACCGCAUGGUUCAAUAGUGAAAGACGGUUUUGCUGUCACUUAUAGAUGGAUCCGCGCCGCAUUGGCUAGUUGGUAAGGUAACGGCUUACCAAGGCAACGAUGCGUAGCCGACCUGAGAGGGGGAUAGGCGACACUGGAACGGGAACACGGUCCAGGCGCCUACGGGAGGCAGCAGUAGGGAAUCUUCCGCAAUGGGCGAAAGCAUGACGGAGCAACGCCGCGUGAGUGAUGAAGGUCUUCGGAUCGUAAAGCUCUGUUAUUAGGGAAGAACAAAUGUGUAAGUAACUGUGCACGUCUUGACGGUACCUAAUCAGAAAGCCACGGCUAACUACGUG